rnacentral:rRNA from 1 species
GAUGAACGCUCGCGGCAGGCCUAAUACAUGCAAGUCGAACGAGAUUAAGAGGCUUGCUUCUUAUGAAAGUGGCGCACGGGUGCGUAACGCGUAUGCAACCUACCUUAAUCAGGGGGAUAGCCCGAAGAAAUUCGGAUUAAGACCGCAUAAAAACACAGGAUAGCAUUAUCCAAUGUUCAAAUAUUUAUAGGAUUAAGAUGGGCAUGCGUGUCAUUAGCUAGUUGGCGGGGUAACGGCCCACCAAGGCGACGAUGACUAGGGGAUCUGAGAGGAUGACCCCCCACACUGGGACUGAGACACGGACCAGACUCCUACGGGAGGCAGCAGUAAGGAAUAUUGGUCAAGGGAGGGAACUCUGAACCAGCCAUGCCGCGUGCAGGAAGACAGCCCUCUGGGUCGUAAACUGCUUUUAGUCGGGAAUAAACCUUUCUACGUGUAGGAAGCUGAAUGUACCGAAGGAAUAAGGAUCGGCUAACUCCGUG